rnacentral:rRNA from 1 species
UACGGGGGGGGCAAGCGUUGUUCGGAAUUACUGGGCGUAAAGGGCUCGUAGGCGGCCAACUAAGUCAGACGUGAAAUCCCUCGGCUUAACCGGGGAACUGCGUCUGAUACUGGAUGGCUUGAGUUUGGGAGAGGGAUGCGGAAUUCCAGGUGUAGCGGUGAAAUGCGUAGAUAUGCGGAGGAACACCAAUGGCGAAGGCAAUCUCCUGGACCUGCACUGACGCUCAUGCACGAAAGCGUGGGGAGCAAACAGG